GAGCUUCUUACAUAAUACUGCAGCUCCGGUACCUUGGGUCACAAAAGCUUUUAAAAGAAGGAGAAAAAUGGAAAAGCUCUGCAGCAAGGGUUGAUUCUGCUGGUGCUCUGCGACAAACCUCCUGCGUGAGAAUCUCAGUUUGCUUCCCUGGGGAAUCCAUCCUGACACAGACCUUGAUGCACCACUGACUGGAAUUUCGCCCUUCCUUUUGGGGAGUUGAUGGAGGAUAAUUUAAAA
rnacentral:lncRNA from 1 species